AUUGAACGCUGGCGGCAGGCCUAACACAUGCAAGUCGAGCGGUUGAAGGGAGCUUGCUCCUGGAUUCAGCGGCGGACGGGUGAGUAAUGCCUAGGAAUCUGCCUGGUCGUGGGGGAUAACGUCCGGAAACGGGCGCUAAUACCGCAUACGUCUUGCGGGAGAAAGUGGGGGAUCUUCGGCCUUCACGCUAUCAGAUGAGCCUAGGUCGGAUUAGCUAGUUGGUGGGGUAAAGGCCUACCAAGGCGACGAUCCGUAACUGGUCUGAGAGGAUGAUCAGUCACACUGGAACUGAGACACGGUCCAGACUCCUACGGGGGGCAGCAGUGGGGAAUAUUGGACAAUGGGCGAAAGCCUGAUCCAGCCAUGCCGCGUGUGUGAAGAAGGUCUUCGGAUUGUAAAGCACUUUAAGUUGGGAGGAAGGGCAGUAAGUUAAUACCUUGCUGUUUUGACGUUACCAACAGAAGAAGCACCGGCUAACUUCGUG
rnacentral:rRNA from 1 species